rnacentral:lncRNA from 1 species
AUGGAAGCGCCCGAAGUUCUGUCUCAGACCAGGCAGAGCGAAGAACCGAAGAAUAGGGGAGGCAGGGCAAGGGCGGCCGAACGAGCUAACGAGAACGUCUUCGCGGGCUGCCCGUGUUCACUGUCACGCGUCCCGCUGUGUCUUCGGGCACGUCUUCCGUACAGCCGUCCUGGCCGCCGCCGGCUUCCCCUCAUUCUCGAAGCCCUGUCUGUUCUGCGCGCACCUGGGCGUGUAAGCAACUGGGAAACCAUCUUAAGAAAUGACAUUUGGAUACCCAGAAAUGGAAUAUCUAUCUUCAGUCCAGCCAACAAGUUUACACGAUGCCAAGAAGGUAUUGGCUGUGCUUGAGUGUUCUCUAUUGCAUACUUGAUGGACACCCGAAAUCACGAGGUAGGUAUCUCGUUGUUUAGACUGUAUUAUUUGAGGUCAAGUGAGAUAGUCUCACCACAAGAAGGUCUCUUCAGGGGGUAUUCACUAGGAUAUCCCAAGUGUCCAUGGGCACCAGUGCCUCUGGGUCAGAAUGACAGAGACGGCCUUUGACCAGAAGAUACUUGCAUGGAAAGGCUGCUUUCCUCAUUGCUGUAGCCUUGUCACCACCACUCUAAAGGGGUAUGUAUGUCUGUGCAACACUCAUAUAAUGCACGGAAAUCUUUGAUGCUCACACCCAAUACGACACCUCUAGCACCUCAAAAAGGAGGUCUGAGCUCUCUGUAGACUCCUUAAUGCAAUCCUUAAUCCAACGAUAUCAUGAUGAAUUGUAUUUCACGGCCAUGACAUCAUCCGGGAGGCACUGGACCCUGACCAAGGUCCUGCACACCAUCCUUUGCUUCAUGUUCAUCACCCAGAAGAGCCACUUCUGUCCUGUUUAUAUAAGGCAUUUAUCCCAUCUCAACAAUGUAAUUCUAACAGGAUUUUUAUCCCCAGAAAGCGCAGGAGGAAGUUUUGUCUCAGAUUGGGUCCUGGAGUUUACCCUCCCAGCCACUUCCACACCCUUCGCUGUAGUGGAGUGCAUUGUUAGAAUUCUCUGAAUCUUGAGUUUUGUUCCUUUCUUUUCUUUGCCUCUGAGUCUUUACCCCUCUUUUGUUCCUUGUACUAUCCAUGAAAAAUGAAAGCUUCUCUCAGCUACAUGAUGAAUAUGAUUUCACGUAGCAGCUUGAGAAAAAAUGAAAUAGAUCAAAACUUCUACUUAAUGACAUGGCAAUCAAUUAGGUAUAUACAUAAAAUAAUUCUGAAAGAUAGCUGCCUUAUAACCUUUCAGACAUUAUGGAAAGUCAUGUUCUGAUUGCUUAGCCCUCCUUCAUGCUCCUGCAUUGUCAUUCUUUAUUCUCAUCCUUUUUGUUUUCCUAGG